rnacentral:misc_RNA from 1 species
AAUCAACACUCUUGCAUUCUCAAAUUCACAAAUUAGCUUUUCAGGAUUUGUUGCAAAUUGAGGGGAAAUAUAACCUCUGUCCAUCUCCAUUCCUUCCUCAACUUCAACUGUUGUCUCAAAUGAGGAUGAUGACUCAAUUGACAAAACACCAUCAGGCCCAACCUUGUCAAUUGCAUCAGCAAUCAUUGUCCCAAUAAGCUCAUCAUUUCCAGCAGAAAUGG